CUAACUUUUUUUGUUUCUUGUUUUUUAAUGACGUUAAUAAUUUUCUCAGCAUAGUUGACUUCACUGAUCUUAGAAAUUCAACAAUAUGCUCCUGAAUGACCAGUGAGUCAAUGAAGAAAUUGAACAGUAAAUGGAAAAUUUUCUUGAAACAAAUGAUAAUGGAACACCACAUACCAAACUCUGCGAGAUACAGUGAAAGAAAUACCAAUUGGCCAGUUUACAGCUGUAAGUGCCUCCAUCAGAAAAGAGGCAAAACUUCAAAUGAGCAAUCUAAUGAUGCUCAGGAAAACAGAACACCAAUCCUCAACCUUCAUUCCCAGACACAGACACAAAAGGAGUGGUAGACACUGAAAUACCUGUGACUCGGGGAACCUGUCCUAGUAAGUGAGGGAAGUCACAAUCAUUCCCAAGGGUGUUCACUGAGAAAGUGCCUUUGUCCUGCAUCUGCAGCCUUGAAUGGAUGAGGUUCUGGGGCACCAACGGGCAUCGUCCAUGCUUUGUGGGAACACCAAGGCCCGCACCUAAAGAAACAGUUGAAAGGAGUACCUGGAGUCAGAAAGAUGACAGUGUCCUCUGACCACUGCUUUUAGCCACCUUGAUAGCUGCUCAAACGAGCUCUUCCCAGUGUGCGAACUGCCUUGUUCCAGUUUUGUUUCAUUCCCAGAAGUGAAGGAGUCCUAAGUCACACAUCAACACUUUCAUGGCCAACCACAGAACAGACACCUAGUUUCACCUUGAGAAAGAAGAAAGAUGGGGUAGAAAUGACAAAGAUUUUCUGAUUUCAUCUUUACUAGUAUGGUAGAUACCUGAUGAAAAUUGUUUGAAAUAAAAUGGAGAAUUGAAUAAAUUUUAAAAGUUUCUUUAUAACAGAUUACUUUUAGUAUUCUAAUAUGUAGUCUAAUAUGUAUAUAUGUAUAUAUGCGUGUGUAGGUAUACGUGUGUGUGUAUAUAUGUGUGUGUAUAUGUGUGUGUGUAUAAAUAUAUAUAUAUAUGUGU
rnacentral:lncRNA from 1 species